UCUCCGUUGGUGAACCAGCGGAGGGAUCAUUACCGAGUUUACGACUCCCAAACCCCUGUGAACAUACCAUUUGUUGCCUCGGCGGUGCCUGCUUCGGCAGCCCGCCAGAGGACCCAAACCCUUGAUUUUAUACAGUAUCUUCUGAGUAAAUGAUUAAACAAAUCAAAACUUUCAACAACGGAUCUCUUGGUUCUG
rnacentral:misc_RNA from 1 species